UGCGGCACGCAUCAUUCCCGAACAAAUUAUUUUUUGUUGUAUCACUUCACAAGAUAUUGCGCCACAUUUUUCCGCGACCUAAGCCAGAUCAAUUUCCAUGGUUUUUCGCGAAUUGUAAUAUUAUCUUUAAUUUUUUUUUGCUUUAAUUAAACUUUGUUUCCUGCUAUCCUGGUAGAUUAGAUUGGAUAAAUAAAUAAGGAUCGCCACUUAAGGAUCGGCGACUUAAGGUCUAUUGGGGCCUCUCCUAAGUCACAACGACUUACUUAGCCCCAGGAUAUAAAAAAAUUCCAGUAUACUGCUGAGUACUAUUGAGGCGAUGUGAUCCCUAUUUGGAAACAUUGAUAUAAAGGCCUUUAUCCUGAGCCUACAGACUGCAAUGGGUUCAAUUAACAGGUGCUCUGGAGUUUCAGGAUCCAUGUCGCAGAACCGGGUAUUCGCACAAGAAGUUGGGUUCAUGUUAUGUAAGUGCUUCUUGAGAUUGCAAAAGCCAGUGUAGAAGGCAACAAGUAGCCUGAGUUUGUCCCUUGGGAGGUUCAUUACAUACUUAAACCUUUUAAGAUUGCUACCACGCAUUAGCAACUUGACGCGGGGCAUGCCAUGGAGUUGUUACCAAUACACCUCCCUACCCACCCCUUCAUUCUUGCGGAGCAGCUCCUUUAUGGUAUAGGGACCAACCGCAAUAAACGGUUCAGGUCCUCCCAUGUUGGUGGAUGCUGCGAAGUGGUCGAGCUCAUUAGCCAGCUCAUUCCCGGCUAUAUCUUUGUGACCGGGCACCCAGAUAAGGUGCACGGUAGCGAUCUGAUUGACUGUUCAGCCGUUCUAUACACUUCUUCCCCAAUAGCGAUUUGCAGGUUUAACUCUAAGCACCGACUUAUAGCAAAGACUUUUGCUUGGAAUAUGCUCGGAAAACUAUCCAUAGGUAUGAAGUUUGGUGCGUGGUUCUGCGACUCCAGUGCCAAUUCCCUCCGUUAUUUUCGAGCCGUCAGUGUACCAUUUGAUUGUACUAUCCCUAAGCAGUAGCUCGAUAGCGAAAUUGUUCCAGCCAUACUGCUGAGGGUUACCUUGAACAUCUUAGUGAAGAUUAUACUUUUGGUAAUGCUGUCCCUUCGAAGAAGAGUCAGUGGUAUUUCGUCACUUAACUCCUUAAUGUGAUGGGAAGAGAUUACCUUACCUCUGCCAUACCCUUCUGCUGUCAUUUAGAGUGGUAUGUGUUGAUGUGAGAUCCAGCAUGACUGCAAGUGCCACCGUCGGACAUGUACCCAUGCCACACGGUACGCAGAAGCAGGCGAGUCGUUUGCAGUUUGCAGCUUCGAUAGUGUAAGUCCUACCGGAGUCUGCGAAACUUUCAAGACCCAAGCCACCGCUUCAUAUCUAAUAAUCGGUCGCAUGAUCAUGAUGUACAACCACCUGACAAUCGCCUUGCUACUCCCGACCUUCACUCACCAACUGAGCCUAGCAAACCACCAGCAUGGAUUCCGAAAAGUACACAGUACCGCCGCAGCACUUGGCGUCAUAAACGCCCAGAUAGUUCGUGGCCUUUACCAGAAAACACCCGGUGAGAGAACAAUCCGCGUAGCCCUGGACUUGUCAAAAUCAUUUGGCACAGUCAGUCACACAACGCUACUGCAUGACAUUGAACAAACUACGCUCCCUCCAGGACUGAAGAACUGGACCCUGGACCACCUGAGCAGUCGUCAACCAUCCGCACUGUUUCGAGGAGACAGAGAAGAAUUAAACAAGGGGUUCCGCAGGGUGGUAUCCUUUCGUCGCUAUUGUUUAACUUUUAUAUCUCGAAACUCCCACAGCCGCCAGAGGGAGUUUCCGUAACCUCGUACGCUAACGAUUGCGCGAUAUUUACGUAGGGCAAUGGAAUCGAUAGCAAGUGCCCAAAGGUAAACGUCUAUCUCUCCGACCUUGCACGCUUCUUUUCUGCACGGAACCUAACACUCUCCCCCACCAAAUCCACAGCGACCAUAUUUACAAACUGGACGAAGGAGUACAGACAUCACCUUCAUAUUGCAGUCCAUGGCGUCAAGAUUCCGACUGUCAAUAAUCCUAAGAUUUUAGGUGUAACUUUUGAUAUUCUCAUACGAUCGCGAUUAUCUCAUUCAGAGCCGCAACAAAAUAUUCAAGUCGCUAGCCGGCAGCACAUGGGGAAAGGACAAAGAAACGUUGUUGGUAACUUACAAGGCAAUCGGCCGGCCGACCCUCGACUACGUCGCACCAAUAUGGUAUGCAGUGGAACGCAAAUGAAGAAGCUUCAGACUGGUCAGAACAGUGGACUCCGGACUACGACAGGAUGCCUCCUGAGGUUCCUAUUGAACAUCUACAUAGUGAGGUCCGUAUGCUCCCAGUUAAGGAGCAUAAUGAACUCCUCUCCAGGCAGUUCCUGAUGGGAUGUUUUCGCAGAAAUCACCCCUGCAGUCACCUGCUUGGAGCGGAACCGCCUUCUAGGAACAUCAAGAGGUCAUUACUCAAUUACGACAAUGACAUUAGACACUACGCCGACCAGACUUCGGACACAACUAACUUCCGACAUGCACUGACCAUAUUCAGCAAGACAAGAUCGAUAGCGAUUUUGAAUCCAAUUCAAUUGUUUGCUUAAAAAACAUAUAUUAAAAUGGAAAACACAAAAAUUAAAAACAAAACUCAAAAAGCGAAAGAGUGGGUGUUGAGGAAAAGUAAAGUGAGCUAGCCACAUAGCUGAAAGGCCACCUCAGAAGGACGUUAACGGAUGGAAAAAAGAUAUGGUCUGACUAGAAGGGAUGCAUUCGUAAAAAUGUUGCGCAUAAAACUUUGGAGUCUAGUUUCUAGUGGAAACUUUCCAAAGUUUUUGGGGUGAAGCAACCUUCAACGAUAGUAGAGGAAGAACGUCCACAGACAUGAAGGGAAGCCGUAGAUACACCAAGAGCAGCAAAAAAACGUGUUUCCGAAAAUCAAGAUUCGUUCCUAAAGCGCAUGGCAGCCCAAGCGAAUUGCACGGAAUUUUUUUUAUUAACAUUUAAUGAUAAUAGUGAGUGUCAGUACGAAAUGAGGCAACAUCAAGAAGAAGUGAUUUUAGUGGCGUAUACAGCAAGGUAAUUUUUAAAGAACGAAAACGACUUUUUUAAACUCCUAUAACGCGCUCUAUGAUGUUACGUACCUUUGAGUGCUGGGGGUUGAAACUGUGUUCUGGUGAUCCUGGGGCGGGGUUUCUAUAUGGAGUAAAUAGGAAUACUUCUAUACCAAAACCAAAAUAUCCCAUUAGCCAAGAUCCUCAAUUACCAACUUCAUAUUGAGAAUUUUAACAUUAAAAAAAUUAAAUUUUUGAUUUACAUAUAUAAAUAAUCAUUAGUGUACGUAAACUUUUUUGAUAUAAAUUAUGCCCAUUUUUAGCUUUAGCAUUAUUUUUUUUUUAUUUGUGUAAAAAAAAAAAUAUUUUGAUAUGCUAAAUUUAAUGUUACAAUAUAUGUACAUCUUUUGAAAUGGAUAGAAAGAAACCACAAAAUUUUUCACAUCAAAUGAAUUGAAUUAAACUGCAAACAAUUAAACAAAUUCACAUUUUAAACUUUUUGCAGGUUUUUUAAGUAAGAAAUACAUUUUUUUUUUUUUUUUUUUUUCACUCGUUGUGGAUAUCAUUUAUGUGAUAACAAUUAUGAGGAAAAUGUCCGCUGCCAUAUGAUAAUAAGCAAAUAAGAGCAAUUCGUUUCCUUAGUUAGCAAUAAAAAUAAGAGCCUAUAAAUUAUAUUUCCAAUUAAAAUGGAUAUAAACAAUAUUUCCAAGCAUAUAAAUAUUUUCUUAUUUAAAUUUAAUAAAAAAAUAAGUAAUAUUAUAUAAUAAUAUUAUAUUACGUAAUAGUGUAUAGAGAAAGCAGUACUACGCGAAAGUACUUCAGACACGCAGAACUCAACCCAAUUAUAUAAUAAUAAUUAAUAGAAAUUAUUAUAUAACAUUAUAAUAAACUUUUUAUAAUAUUGUGACAUGAUUUUAUUAUAAUAUAAAAUUUGUAAUAUAU